rnacentral:rRNA from 1 species
UACGUAGGUGGCAAGCGUUGUCCGGAUUUACUGGGCGUAAAGAGCGCGCAGGCGGUCGUUCAAGUCGCGUGUGAAAGCCCCCGGCUCAACUGGGGAGGGUCACGCGAUACUGAUCGACUCGAAGGCAGGAGAGGGUAGUGGAAUUCCCGGUUUAGUGGUGAAAUGCGUAGAUAUCGGGAGGAACACCAGUGGCGAAGGCGACUACCUGGCCUGUUUCUUGACGCUGAGGCGCGAAAGCUAGGGGAGCAAACGGG